AUUGUUUCCUUGAUAGAUUUCUAAUUUUAUGUAUUUUUUUUUUUUAGGAACAUAAAAUGAAGUGUUAAGAAUUUGCCAUUGAGAGUGUGAAGGCUGAAGAGUCCCGGCUGAAUUGCAGUCUGUUUGUGCCACGUAGCCAAAUAGGUAUGUACAUGAAUUACCUAUAGCUGUGUAAACCUGUGUGAUGAGGCAGUUUUACAUUUUGUGU
rnacentral:lncRNA from 1 species